AUUGAACGCUGGCGGCAGGCCUAACACAUGCAAGUCGAGCGGAUGAAGGGAGCUUGCUCCUGGAUUCAGCGGCGGACGGGUGAGUAAUGCCUAGGAAUCUGCCUGGUAGUGGGGGAUAACGUCCGGAAACGGGCGCUAAUACCGCAUACGUCCUGAGGGAGAAAGUGGGGGAUCUUCGGACCUCACGCUAUCAGAUGAGCCUAGGUCGGAGUAGCUAGUUGGUGGGGUAAAGGCCUACCAAGGCGACGAUCCGUAACUGAUCUGAGAGGAUGAUCAGUCACACUGGAACUGAGACACGGUCCAGACUCCUACGGGAGGCAGCAGUGGGGAAUAUUGGACAAUGGGCGAAAGCCUGAUCCAGCCAUGCCGCGUGUGUGAAGAAGGUCUUCGGAUUGUAAAGCACUUUAAGUUGGGAGGAAGGGCAGUAAGUUAAUACCUUGCUGUUUUGACGUUACCAACAGAAUAAGCACCGGCUAACUUCGUG
rnacentral:rRNA from 1 species